rnacentral:rRNA from 1 species
UGGGGAAUAUUGGACAAUGGGCGAAAGCCUGAUCCAGCCAUGCCGCGUGUGUGAAGAAGGUCUUCGGAUUGUAAAGCACUUUAAGUUGGGAGGAAGGGUUGUAGAUUAAUACUCUGCAAUUUUGACGUUACCGACAGAAUAAGCACCGGCUAACUCUGUGCCAGCAGCCGCGGUAAUACAGAGGGUGCAAGCGUUAAUCGGAAUUACUGGGCGUAAAGCGCGCGUAGGUGGUUUGUUAAGUUGGAUGUGAAAUCCCCGGGCUCAACCUGGGAACUGCAUCCAAAACUGGCAAGCUAGAGUAUGGUAGAGGGUGGUGGAAUUUCCUGUGUAGCGGUGAAAUGCGUAGAUAUAGGAAGGAACACCAGUGGCGAAGGCGACCACCUGGACUGAUACUGACACUGAGGUGCGAAAGCGUGGGGAGCAAACAGGAUUAGAUACCCCAGUAGUCCCUGAGCGGGCUGGCAAGGCGCAU